rnacentral:rRNA from 1 species
GAUGUGGCGUCCAUGGCUGCUGAGUCAUGCGACCUUUGGCAAGUAUGCAACCAAUUUCAGAAGAGAAGAUACCAAUCUGUUGUGGCCAUGUUCCCAAGCUGAUGUGGCGUCCAUGGCUACUGUGUCAUACGAUCUUUGGAAGUAUGCAACCAAUUAGAACUGAAUGUUUCAGAGAUGGUAUGAAUUAAUUAGACUUAUAACUAAAUUGCUGAGAUUAAACAUACAUUACUUCGGCCUUCAGUCCUAGCAGCUGAAACACAUGAAGAAGGCAAUUGAUUUGCAAAAAAUAAAGGGGGUGAUGGAGAGAACAUGUAACUCACUCAAGAAUUACACAACCAACACGAAUCUAUUACGGAGCAUUAUAAAAAUUAUUAACUUUAAAGUAUGAUCCGUGAGAUAAAAAAUAAGAUAGUGUUUUUUAUUCAAUCGCCAUAUUUUGAACUGAUACUUCGAAACAAACCUGUUGUGACAUUUUGCUAGCAAUCAGGUCACUGAAGGUGGGGCGGUGUCGGACGAAAAAUAAGCAGUUUGGAUUAUCCACAUACCUCUGUUGGUUUACCAUAUCACAUGAUGCAGCCGAUGUGCAUAAAAUCAAUAGCCGUGGGGAAGAUUUGUGUUCUUUGCUCUUCUCCUUCAUCAUUCAUACACCGAUGGAUCCCCUCAGUGGUCGUAUGUUGAUUGAAUAUUUGCCGCUGAUGAUCUGUACUUGAGGCAGGCCUCGAGGCGUUGGCAUCCAGCACUCCUUUGUCUCGGUGCCCAGCGGUAACGGUGCCAAGGGGGACAGUUCAUCGGCGCCGCCACCGUCUCCUCACCGCCAAGAUCGGCCUCCAGUCUCGCGUUGAGAGGAAGAAACGGGUGGGCAUGCAGGUACCUGCACUUGCCGGUGCGCGGCGGCAGUACCCGCUCGAUCUGCGCCUGCAUCUACUCGUCGGCGCCGAGCGCCUCCUCCUCGCUGCGCACAUUAUGGGGGGUUCCUCGUCGGCGCCGCGCUCCCGGCGCUCUACAUCCUCGACGGCCUCCGGUCCGGGGACACCACGGGGAUCGCCGCCGAGAGUGAGAGAGAAGGUGGGGGCCGGGCUUAGCCGGGAUCGGGGGAGCAGAUGGGGGACGGGCGGCGCCGGGAGCCGGGGAGGAGGUCGGGGGCUGGCGGCACCGAGCGGCGGCGAAGGGAUCUAGCGGUGGUGGUGAGGGGACGAAGGGCGGCGGCGGGGAACGAGGGCACAGAGUUGGGCAACUGUUUCUC